rnacentral:rRNA from 1 species
UACGUAGGGUGCGAGCGUUGUCCGGAAUUAUUGGGCGUAAAGAGCUUGUAGGCGGUUUGUCGCGUCUGCUGUGAAAAUCCGGGGCUCAACCCCGGACUUGCAGUGGGUACGGGCAGACUAGAGUGUGGUAGGGGAGACUGGAAUUCCUGGUGUAGCGGUGAAAUGCGCAGAUAUCAGGAGGAGCACCGAUGGCGAAGGCAGGUCUCUGGGCCGCUACUGACGCUGAGAAGCGAAAGCGUGGGGAGCAAACAGG